rnacentral:piRNA from 1 species
CAUGUAAGAUGUGCCUCUCACCUUCUGC